UUUCUGGUCCUGAAAGUAGAAUAAUUAUCAUUAACACUUGCUACUGAAUUUUUUUUAAUUUGUGGAGCUUCUAGAAAAUUUAGAGAGAUCUGUGAAGGCUGACGGUUCGCGCUAUACUGGCCAUUAUCGGCAAACCGGUUGAGAAUAUAAGGAGCGUGCACGUUAUUGUGUAAUCGAGAAAAGGUUCAAUAUUCAGUACGGUAAACGAUAAUUCUAUGCUGUUCCAGAUUUGAAAUGAAUUGCAAUGAGGCAUGGAAAUUGAUUACAUGGGUAAAAGGAUACCACCGGGAAAUUCCUUUCAGUCAACGAAUCGCGUUACAGUUGAUAACAAUUGAAGUUGGAUGAACAAUGAAUAAGAAACGCGAUACGCGUGCGGCGGGCACGAAUCAUUGAACCACGUUCUGUAUACAAGGCCGUGACAACGAAAGGAGUGAAAAUACCAGAGAUAAAUGUUAAUUAUCCCGGAGGAAGUUCAGGAACCCGUUAUCUCCAAAAUGUAAACAUGAAUACCAAGAUAAAAUCGCCUUUAUACAACUGGUUUUAAAUUAAUUACGGAGAAGUAUCGCUGAUAAGAGCCUGAAUAUGCAGCGAUAACGGGAAUUAUACCAGUGCAGGAUACAAUUGGAGAUAUUUUGAUUUUGAAAAACACGAUUAUCCUUCGAAGAACAAUACCAGCGAAUUGCAACGCGAAACACUGCUGUAAGUCUCUUUUAUGGUCUACCGCGCGAAACCAAGUCGCUCUAAUUCCCGGGACUUUCAAUGCGAAGACCACUGGUACUUCCCCGGGUAACAUUGCUAGAAGAUCCUACGGUACAUUGCAUUAUCAUACGCUAUGACAAUAUUAGAUAACAAAUGUUCCUAUGAAGAGGAAUUAAUCAUUAGUAGAUGCAGCACCAGCUUAAUGAAACAGUCUGCUAAAUAGGAAAAUUGCAACCGGGAAAAUUAUGCAGUUUCUAGCACUGGUUUUAUGCAAGCUGUAACACCAUGACAGAAACAAUAUUAUGUGGAGGAGUAUCCUGGAAAAUAGGCUGACCAUCAGCAUCCCUA